CCAAUAGCGUAUAUUAAAGUUGUUGCAGUUAAAAAGCUCGUAGUUGAAUUUCGGGAUCAAUAUAUCGGUCGUGCCUUUGGUACGUACUGGUAUCAUUGGUUUCUCCUUUCUGACGAACCAUGAUGUCAUUAAUUUGGUGUUAUGGGAAGUUAGGACUGUUACUUUGAAAAAAUUAGAGUGUUUAAAGCAGGCUUUAGCUUGAAUACAUUAGCAUGGAAUAAUGAAAUAGGACGUUCGAACCUAUUUUGUUGGUUUCUAGGAUCAACGUAAUGAUAAAUAGGGAUAGUUGGGGGCAUUAGUAUUCAAUUGUCAGAGGUGAAAUUCUUGGAUUUAUUGAAGACUAACUACUGCGAAAGCAUUUGCCAAGGAUGUUUUCAUUAAUCAAGAACGAAAGUUAGGGGAUCGAAGACGAUCAGAUACCGUCGUAGUCUUAACCAUAAACUAUGCCGACUAGGAAUCGGAUGAUGUUAAUUUUUUUUAAUGACUCAUUCGGCGCCUUACG
rnacentral:rRNA from 1 species